UGUCAAGGAGACCACCAGGACCAUCCAGUCCAGCUGCUGGUCCUGCACAGACACCCCAACAAUCCCACCCUGUGCAUCCCUGGAAGCAUUGUCCAAAUGCCUGGAGCUCUGGCAGCGCUGGGGCUGUGACCAUUCCCUGAAGAGCCUGAUUGUUGAAGUGUCUGAGGAGACGGCUCUCGCUGUGCCUGGUGCUGCCUUUGGAGGUGCCUUUGGAGCACUGGGAGCAGCAACUUCCAGCUUCCUCUGGGGACUGGGAUUUCAAAGGAAGACAACAGCCAAGAGGAGACAAGCUCAGGCCUCACAGCACAACUCCAGGGUCCAUAAAUGAGCAUCUCUAUUGUUUGCUCCUGGACUUUGAGACUCAAGCCUAUGGAUCCUGCUCCUUUUCUGACCCAGAGCAGUGACAAAGAAAGGAUUAUUCCCACCAAAAACAUCAGGCCUUGUGGGUCUUAUUUAAUUAGAAAAAGGGAAUAAACCAAAUAUCCAGCUC